UCCAUUAUUCACUUUUGUUUUCCGAUUGUCUGGUUUGUUUGGGUUUGGUGCUGGCUUCGGUUUCAUGUUUUGUUUAGGCCUGCCUUGCGCUGUCGGAAAUCGGCCGAGAUCGAGAUUUGUAAGCUCAAGAUCUAAGCUUUUUAUUAGUUAGGCGGCGGCGGCGGCGGUAGCAGCAUCGAUUAUGAUCGUAUAUGGGUCUGCGGAGACAGGUCCGGUUUGUUUCGAUCGUGAUAAACGUCAGAUAAAUGAACCCGAACGCAAAAAAAAAUACAGAAGUCAACCGAAUACAAAGCGAAAAGCUAAAAGGCCACCCCUCCCUUGGAGAUCCCAGAGAAUCCAUUCCAGUUCCAAGGUGUGGACAGAGUGAGGACUCGGCUGCUGACAUAAUUGGCGGGCUUAUAAGCCCCACAGCCAGCUACCAUUUAGGUUCCAGAGUUUCUCCGGCUCUGUCGUAUGGUCUCUUGAAGAACUCAUUUGAAGCGGGAUAGUGCCCAACGAGGUUGAGAGUCUUGGGCAGCCUUAAGUCAACAAAGGACGGAAAAUGGUCUGAAAUGAAGUGCGCCCCGCACUCGAGAACGGAGAACGCUAAAAGCUUUGCAUUUGGCCCAGCCCGACUCGGCCCGGCGCUUAGGUUGCCUAAUGAGCCGACCGAAUGGAGCUCGCUCCAAGUUGGACACCACAACGCUGCGGCGGCUCUCACAAGUAGGGGCGGUGUGCUUGACCAAAUUUGGCGGAGAUCUUGAACCGAAUCGUAGCGGCACAACGCCAACAAAUAUAAACAAAAUAAAAUAAAAACAAAAAACAAA